rnacentral:misc_RNA from 1 species
GAUGAAGAACGUAGCGAAAUGCGAUAAGUAAUGUGAAUUGCAGAAUUCAGUGAAUCAUCGAAUCUUUGAACGCACAUUGCGCCCGCCAGUAUUCUGGCGGGCAUGCCUGUCCGAGCGUCAUUUCAACCCUCGAACCCCUCCGGGGGGUCGGCGUUGGGGAUCGGGAACCCCUAAGACGGGAUCCCGGCUCCGAAAUACAGUGGCGGUCUCGCCGCAGCCUCUCCUGCGCAGUAGUUUGCACAACUCGCACCGGGAGCGCGGCGCGUCCACGUCCGUAAAACACCCAACUUCUGAAAUGUUGACCUCGGAUCAGGUAGGAAUACCCGCUGAACUUAAGCAUAUCAAUAAGCGGAGGA